rnacentral:rRNA from 1 species
UGCCAGCAGCCGCGGUAAUACGAAGGGGGCUAGCGUUGUUCGGAAUUACUGGGCGUAAAGCGCACGUAGGCGGACUUUUAAGUCAGAUGUGAAAUCCCGGGGCUCAACCUCGGAACUGCAUUUGAAACUGGAAGUCUGGAGUUCAGGAGAGGUUAGCGGAAUACCGAGUGUAGAGGUGAAAUUCGUAGAUAUUCGGUGGAACACCAGUGGCGAAGGCGACUCACUGGCACAUUUCUGACGCUGAGGCGCGAAAGCGUGGGGAGCAAACAGGAUUAGAUA